AGAGUUUGAUCAUGGCUCNGAGUGAACGCNGGCGGCGUGCUUAACACAUGCAAGUCGAACGGUAACAGAACUAGCUUGCUUGUUGCUGACGAGUGGCGCACGGGUGAGUAAUAUAUAGUUAAUCUGCCUCGAAGAUUGGGAUANCCAUUGGAAACGAUGAUUAAUACCAAAUAGUCCUUCUCUACAUAAGUAGAGUUGGUAAACGUUUUUCGCUUCGAGAUGAGACUAUAUCCCAUCAGGUAGUUGGUAGUGUAAGAGACUACCAAGCCUAUGACGGGUAGCGGGUUUGAGAGGAUGAUCCGCCACACUGGUACUGAGACACGGACCAGACCCCUACGGGAGGCAGCAGUGAGGAAUAUUGCACAAUGGAGGAAACUCUGAUGCAGCAACGCCGCGUGGAGGAUGACGCAUUUCGGUGUGUAAACUCCUUUUAUGAGUCAAGAAAAUGACGGUAGCUCAUGAAUAAGCACCGGCUAACUCCGUGCCAGCAGCCGCGGUAAUACGGAGGGUGCAAGCGUUACUCGGAAUCACUGGGUGUAAAGGACGCGUAGGCGGGAAGCCAAGUCUGAUGUGAAAUCCUAUGGCUUAACCAUAGAACUGCAUUGGAAACUGGUUACCUAGAGUAUGGGAGGGGGAGAUGGAAUUAGUGGUGUAGGGGUAAAAUCCGUAGAUAUCACUAGGAAUACCGAAAGCGAAGGCGAUCUCUUGGAGCAAUACUGACGCUAAGGCGUGAAAGCGUGGGGAGCAAACGGGAUUAGAUACCCCGGUAGUCCACGCCCUAAACGAUGAACACUAGUCGUCGGGAUGCUAGUCAUCUCGGUGAUGCACUUAACAGAUUAAGUGUUCCACCUGGGGAGUACGGUCGCAAGAUUAAAACUCAAAGGAAUUGA
rnacentral:rRNA from 1 species